rnacentral:rRNA from 1 species
AUAUCAAUAAGCGGAGGAAAAGAAACCAACAGGGAUUGCCCUAGUAACGGCGAGUGAAGCGGCAACAGCUCAAAUUUGAAAUCUGGCCCUCUUUCGGGGUCCGAGUUGUAAUUUGCAGAGGGUGCUUUGGCAUAGGCGGCGGUCUAAGUUCCUUGGAACAGGACAUCGCAGAGGGUGAGAAUCCCGUACGUGGGCGCCUGCCUUUGCCGUGUAAAGCCCCUUCGACGAGUCGAGUUGUUUGGGAAUGCAGCUCUAAAUGGGAGGUAAAUUUCUUCUAAAGCUAAAUACUGGCCAGAGACCGAUAGCGCACAAGUAGAGUGAUCGAAAGAUGAAAAGUACUUUGGAAAGAGAGUCAAAAAGCACGUGAAAUUGUUGAAAGGGAAGCGCUUGCAGCCAGACUUGCCCGUAGUUGCUCACCCGGGCUCUUGCCCGGGGCACUCUUCUGCGGGCAGGCCAGCAUCAGUUUGGGCGGUUGGAUAAAGGCCUCUGUCACGUAUCUCCCUUCGGGGUGACCUUAUAGGGGAGGCGCAAUGCAACCAGCCCGGACUGAGGUCCGCGCUUCGGCUAGGAUGCUGGCGUAAUGGCUGUAAGCGGCCCGUCUUGAAACACGGACCAAGGAGUCUAACAUCUAUGCGAGUGUUUGGGUGUCAAGCCCGGACGCGCAAUGAAAGUGAACGGAGGUGGGAACCCCUCGGGGUGCACCAUCGACCGAUCCUGAAGUCUUCGGAUGGAUUUGAGUAAGAGCAUAGCUGUUGGGACCCGAAAGAUGGUGAACUAUGCUUGAAUAGGGUGAAGCCAGAGGAAACUCUGGUGGAGGCUCGCAGCGGUUCUGACGUGCAAAUCGAUCGUCAAAUUUGGGCAUAGG